UUUAAUACCUCAGAUGGUUCUACUGCAAGUGACAUUGCAAACAGUAUCUGCUGCUUUAAUACACGAAAUAUCAGAAUACCUCUUCAGCGGCUGGAGUAUUAUUACUGGACAAGUGACAUUUGCCCUCUCAGACACAUUGUAUUUGUUACAGCUCCCGAGGAUCCUAGCACUCCAAAGAAACAAUUCUGUAUGGACCCUGAAAAUAAGUGGGUCCAGCGGGCCAUUAACCACUUGGACAAAAAGCAUGCUAAAAAUUCAGCAAAAUGAAACUUGGAAUUUUUUUUUUACAUUUCUACGAUACACACACACACACACACCUGUACAUAUGAGUAAAACUGUAAAAUAAACUUGUUAUUGUAUUGUAACGUUUUAGUGAGUUACCAUUGUAAUGUGUAUUAUUCAAAUGUGUGGAUCUCAUCAUUAUCAAUAAUAUUAUGUCAACAGUAAUUCUUAAGCUACUGAUCUGAUGUAAAUUUUAAAUGAGCUGUAUAAAGAAUAUUGCAUAUA